AAGAGGUAUAAAAAGAAGAUUUGGCCUCCCGUUAUUUCUACUCGGUCCGGCGUUAGGUGAUGAAUCACGAAGCCGAGGAGGUGAACUAGAGAUUUACGCGCCAGUUCUCAGGUAACCAUGGAGGUAUGGCUGCAUUACAAAACCGUUUAUUUAUUCUGUAAAGAGCUGAGAUGUUUUUGCAUAAUAUUUUUUAAUAUGUCUGAUACAUAUUGUACACCAACAUCCAGACUGGAUUCAUAGCAUGACAAGUUGCCCUAUUGAACCCAUUUGUAUUUCAAAUGAACUAGUGGCUGCAUUGCAGUUCUUUUUAAAUCUUAAUGUAUUGUCUCUAAAUUAUGCACUGUACUUACUUUUAAAUGUUAAUAAAAAAAAGUUUAAUAUA